AUUGAACGCUGGCGGCAGGCUUAACACAUGCAAGUCGAGCGGGGUGAUGGUGCUUGCACUAUCACUUAGCGGCGGACGGGUGAGUAAUGCUUAGGAAUCUGCCUAUUAGUGGGGGACAACAUCUCGAAAGGGAUGCUAAUACCGCAUACGUCCUACGGGAGAAAGCAGGGGAUCACUUGUGACCUUGCGCUAAUAGAUGAGCCUAAGUCGGAUUAGCUAGUUGGUGGGGUAAAGGCCUACCAAGGCGACGAUCUGUAGCGGGUCUGAGAGGAUGAUCCGCCACACUGGGACUGGGACACGGCCCAGACUCCUACGGGGGGCAGCAGUGGGGAAUAUUGGACAAUGGGGGGAACCCUGAUCUAGCCAUGCCGCGUGUGUGAAGAAGGCCUUAUGGUUGUAAAGCACUUUAAGCGAGGAGGAGGCUCUUUUGGUUAAUACCCAAGAUGAGUGGACGUUACUCGCAGAAUAAGCACCGGCUAACUCUGUGCCAGCAGCCGCCGUAA
rnacentral:rRNA from 1 species